AUCAACGUAAGCCUAAUGGAUAAGGCGUCGGCCUCCUAAGCCGAAGACUGCGGGUUCGAGUCCCGUCGGAGGUA